GACACUGUGGCCGAGUGGUUAAGGCGCGGGCCUGCUAAGCCCGUAUCUUCGGAUGCGUGGGUUCGAAUCCCAUCGGUGUCG
rnacentral:tRNA from 1 species